GGUGGCAUUUUAUUUUAUUAGAGGAAUUUGUCCUUUAAUCGAUAAUCCCCUAUCGCUUUCACUUUAAUAUAAAAUUUAUAUAUCGCCGUCUAAAGAUUUAAUUAUAAAAUAUUUCUCUAAAUAAACAAUAAAAAGAUAGGUCAAGGUCUAGUCUACAUUAAAGAAUGAGAUGAAUUACUUUAAAAAUAAUUUAAGGAGUAUAAAUUAAAAUUAAUUACAAAAAAGGAUUUGAUCGUAAUAUUAAAAUAAUAAUUCAUUAUGAAAAAGAUAAUAAAAGUGUACACAUCGCCCGUCGC
rnacentral:rRNA from 1 species